rnacentral:rRNA from 1 species
AAUGAACGCUGGCGGCGCGCCUAAUACAUGCAAGUCGAGCGAGAAGACGUAGCAAUACGUUUGUAAAGCGGCGAACGGGUGAGGAAUACAUGGGUAACCUACCCUCGAGUGGGGAAUAACUAGCCGAAAGGUUAGCUAAUACCGCGUACGCUCCUUGGACUUCGGUUCAGGGAGGAAAGCGAUACCGUGGGUAUCGCGCUCUUGGUUGGGCUCAUGUCCUAUCAGCUUGUUGGUGAGGUAACGGCUCACCAAGGCUUCGACGGUAGCUGGUCUGAGAGGACGAUCAGCCACACUGGCACUGCGACACGGGCCAGACUCCUACGGG